rnacentral:rRNA from 1 species
GACGAACGCUGGCGGCGUGCUUAACACAUGCAAGUCGAACGGAAAGGCCCUGCUUUUGUGGGGUGCUCGAGUGGCGAACGGGUGAGUAACACGUGAGUAACCUGCCCUUGACUUUGGGAUAACUUCAGGAAACUGGGGCUAAUACCGGAUAGGAGCUCCUGCUGCAUGGUGGGGGUUGGAAAGUUUCGGCGGUUGGGGAUGGACUCGCGGCUUAUCAGCUUGUUGGUGGGGUAGUGGCUUACCAAGGCUUUGACGGGUAGCCCGCCUGAGAGGGUGACCGGCCACAAUGGGACUGAGAUACGGCCCAGACUCGUACGGGAGGCAGCAGUGGGGAAUAUUGCACAAUGGGGGGAAGCCUGAUGCAGCAACGCCGCGUGCGGGAUGCCGGCCUUCGGGUUGUAAACCGCUUUCGCAUGUGACGAAGCGUGAGUGACGGUAAUGGGUAAAGAAGCACCGGCUAACUACGUG